UACGAAGGGUGCGAGCGUUAUUCGGAAUCACUGGGCGUAAAGGGUGCGUAGAUGGCAUGUUAAGUUCGUUGUUAAAGGCUCCGGCCUAACCGGAGUAUUGCGAUGAAAACUGGCGUACUAGAGGGUGAGAGAGAGAAGUGGAAUUCCCGGAGUAGCGGUAAAAUGCGUGGAUCUCGGGAGGAACACCAAUGGCGAAGGCAGCUUCUUGGCUCAUUCCUGACAUUGAGGCACGAAAGCGUGGGGAGCAAACAGG
rnacentral:rRNA from 1 species